AUACUACUCCCUCCGUCCGAAAAUACUUGUCAUUGAAAUGGAUGUAUCUAGAUGUAUUUUAGGUCUAGACACAUCCAUUUUGAUGACAAGUAAUUCCGGACGGAGGGAGUAUUAU
rnacentral:pre_miRNA from 1 species